GACGAACGCUGGCGGCGUGCCUAAUACAUGCAAGUCGAGCGGAGCGGUGGACGGGUGAGUAAUGCCUAGGAAUCUGCCUGGUAGUGGGGGAUAACGUCCGGAAACGGGCGCUAAUACCGCAUACUAUCAGAUGAGCCUAGGUCGGAUUAGCUAGUUGGUGGGGUAAAGGCCUACCAAGGCGGCGAUCCGUAACUGGUCUGAGAGGAUGAUCAGUCACACUGGAACUUAGACACGGUCCAGACUCCUACGGGAGGCACCAGUGGGGAAUAUUGGACAAUGGGCGAAAGCCUGACCCAGCAAUGCCGCGUGUGUGAAGAAGGUCUUCGGAUUGUAAAGCACUUUAAGUUGGGAGGCGGUACCUACCGAAUAAGCACCGGCUAACUUCGUGCCAGCAGCCGCGGUAAUAC
rnacentral:rRNA from 1 species